rnacentral:rRNA from 1 species
UUUAUGGAGAGUUUGAUCCUGGCUCAGGAUGAACGCUGGCGGCGUGCCUAAUACAUGCAAGUCGAGCGAACGGACGAGAAGCUUGCUUCUCUGAUGUUAGCGGCGGACGGGUGAGUAACACGUGGAUAACCUACCUAUAAGACUGGGAUAACUUCGGGAAACCGGAGCUAAUACCGGAUAAUAUUUUGAACCGCAUGGUUCAAAAGUAAAAGACGGUCUUGCUGUCACUUAUAGAUGGAUCCGCGCUGCAUUAGCUAGUUGGUAAGGUAACGGCUUACCAAGGCAACGAUGCAUAGCCGACCUGAGAGGGUGAUCGGCCACACUGGAACUGAGACACGGUCCAGACUCCUACGGGAGGCAGCAGUAGGGAAUCUUCCGCAAUGGGCGAAAGCCUGACGGAGCAACGCCGCGUGAGUGAUGAAGGUCUUCGGAUCGUAAAACUCUGUUAUUAGGGAAGAACAUAUGUGUAAGUAACUGUGCACAUCUUGACGGUACCUAAUCAGAAAGCCACGGCUAACUACGUGCCAGCAGCCGCGGUAAUACGUAGGUG